rnacentral:rRNA from 1 species
AGAGUUUGAUCCUGGCUCAGGACGAACGCUGGCGGCGUGCCUAACACAUGCAAGUGGAGCGACGAACCAGGCUUCGGCCUGGGGCAAAGCCGCGAACGGGUGAGUAAUAUAUCGGAACGUACCCUGGAGUGGGGGAUAACGUAGCGAAAGUUACGCUAAUACCGCAUACGAUCUAAGGAUGAAAGUGGGGGAUCGCAAGACCUCAUGCUCGUGGAGCGGCCGAUAUCUGAUUAGCUAGUUGGUAGGGUAAAAGCCUACCAAGGCAUCGAUCAGUAGCUGGUCUGAGAGGACGACCAGCCACACUGGAACUGAGACACGGUCCAGACUCCUACGGGAGGCAGCAGUGGGGAAUUUUGGACAAUGGGCGCAAGCCUGAUCCAGCCAUGCCGCGUGAGUGAUGACGGCCUUAGGGUUGUAAAGCUCUUUCGCUAGGGACGA